rnacentral:tRNA from 1 species
CUCAGAGUGGCUCAGUGGAAAGAGCACGGGCUUGGGAGUCAGAGGUCAUGGGUUCGAAUCCCAGCUCUGUUA